rnacentral:rRNA from 1 species
UACGUAGGGUGCGAGCGUUAAUCGGGAUUACUGGGCGUAAAGUGUGCGCAGGCGGCAGAGCAAGUCGAGUGUGAAAGCCCCGGGCUUAACUUGGGAAUUGCGCUCGAAACUACUUUGCUGGAGUGUGGCAGAGGAAGGUGGAAUUCCACGUGUAGCGGUGAAAUGCGUAGAGAUGUGGAGGAACACCAAUGGCGAAGGCAGCCUUCUGGGCCAACACUGACGCUCAUGCACGAAAGCGUGGGGAGCAAACAGG